rnacentral:rRNA from 1 species
UACGGAGGGUGCAAGCGUUAUCCGGAUUUACUGGGUUUAAAGGGUGUGUAGGCGGACUUUUAAGUCAGCGGUGAAAUUCCCGGGCUCAACCUGGGGGCUGCAUUUGAUACGUAUGAUCUUGAGUGGGGAAGAGGGUCGUGGAAUUCCCAGUGUAGAGGUGAAAUUCGUAGAUAUUGGGAAGAACACCGGUGGCGAAGGCGGCGACCUGGUCCUUUUACUGACGCUGAGGCGCGAAAGCGUGGGGAGCAAACAGG